CUGGUGGUGCAGCGGUGAAGUGUGCACAUUCUGCUUCAGCGGCCCAGGGUUCACCAGUUCAGAUCCCGGGUGCAGACACGGCACUGCUUGGCAAAAAGCCAUGAUAUGGUAGGUAUCCCACGGACAAAGUAGAGGAAGAUGGGCAUGGAUGUUAGCUCAGGGCCAGUCUUCCUCAGUAAAAAGAGGAGGAUUGGCAGCAGUUAGCUCAGGGCUAAUCUUCCUAAAAGAUUGGAAAAAAAAAUGAUUUCAAAAAUCGGGGGUGUAUUAGCAUGAACAGGCUACACCAUGCUGCAGGAACACACUUCCACCAAAUCCAUCGGCACAAGGAACAAGAGGAUACUUCUUUCUCUGGCCACAUGCCCGGCACAGGUGAGCAGGGAAUUCCACUGAUCCUAGUCACUCAAGAAUCUGUCAGGAAGCUCCAUCACUUUGUGAUGUCACCAUCUCCACAAAUGGCUUUAGGAAAGAAGGCAUGGAGAACCACAAACCCGUUAUAAAAUGCUUCUACCUAGAGAGUCAUAUGUCACUUUCUUCAGACAAUGAGACCAGAUCUUACUUCAAAUGGGGAAGGCCCCAAACUGGAAAUUCACUGAGCAGUACUGAUGUGCCCACAGAAUGAAACAGCUACAUGUGCACGCACAGCGCUUACAAAAUGGAUCAAGUGAGCUACUUCACAACUUCACACGGGAAAAACUUGCUCUUUAAAGGAGCCCUAGUAAAUUUUUUAACAAAGUGCUAUUUUUAGAUAUAGCUCAGCACAACAGGGAUGCUGUCAACAAAGUAAGAGCCUAAAAGAUGAGAUACUCUGAAGAUAAAUCAGCACAAAAAAAUGUCAGAGCAAUGAAGGACACACGGGAGACCAGACUAACGCUCUCGAGCCAUCCCUGCAUCCUCUGCUAUAGACCCUCAUUAACACAUUUGAGUGUAAGAGCUGACAGCUGCCACACAUAAAAACUGAUAGAUAAUGAA